UGCACUUUGAUAUUUAUUUAUUUAAUUUAAACUAUUAAUAAGUGAGAGUUUGGAUACGACGAAGGGUAAAAUCGUCAUUUGACGCUGACAACUGGCUUCCACUUUCUCAUUCCAUUUCACAUUUCAUGCCCGUUUCUUCCGAAACUUUCUUGUGCCAUCUCCCGAUCAAACAACAAAUGGAGGCUUGUGAGCUCUGGGUCUCCAUCUCCAAACGCACCAAAAUUUUAUGUCUCGAACCCAAGUUCUAUUUGAUAACAGCAAUGGAGAGGCCAAAAACAUCAGAUUUAUGUGAAGCUAUGGGUCUCUAUUAUUAUCGACGGACGAACAGACGGUGGGCGUUCAUCAUCUGAACCUUGGUACUGCAACCUUGCUCUAUCUAUUAAACUAUUAAGUGAGAGUUUGGGUACGACGAAGGGUAAAAUCGUCAUUUGACGCUGACAACUGGCUUCCACUUUCUCAUUCCAUUUCACAUUUCAUGCCCGUUUCUUCCGAAACUUUCUUGUGCCAUCUCCCGAUCAAACAACAAAUGGAGGCUUGUGAGCUCUGGGUCUCCAUCUCCAAACACACCGAAAUUUCAUGUCUCGAACCCAAGUUCUAUCUGAUAACAGCAAUGGAGAGGCCAAAAACAUCAGAUUUAUGUGAAGCUAUGGGUCUCUAUUAUUAUCGACGGACCAACGGACGGUGGGCGUUCAUUAUCUGAACCUUGGGUCAUGAAAAAUAAAGAAAUGCUUAUCUCUUUCACCCACUAGGGGUACAUCGGAAUUCGGACCUCUCAUCCUUGUUUCCAGUAGAUGAAGAUUCAAAUGUUCAAUCACAGUCGGACGUAAGUACAAUGUGUAUAACAUAUUUUAUAAUCUGGCGUUUAAGUUUUUAUUAUGAUAAUCCUUAGUUUCAUGUUCCUAACACAUGGAUAUACCUUCUCCAUUGAGGUUAAAAUUUCAAUUGCAGAUGAGCUCCAGUAUAUUUACGUUUUAAUAUGUAACUACAAACAAAAAAAAGAAUUCCAAUUGGAAGAGUAAAUUAUUAUGUGAAAAUGCAAUCAACCAAAGGUGUUGAAUCCAGGUUAUGUUUUGAUCUAAUUUUAUAGUCAUAUUAAUACUAAUUUAGUACAAGGAUCUUUAUCUUCCUAUCAAAAUAGUGUUAAUCAAAUACUGUUACAAGUUGGAUAUUAUCCCUUGCUGCAGAUGAUAUUUAUCAUGUAACUCCAAUUAAGGUUCCAAUUCUGGAUAUAUUUUGCUUCAUAAAAGGUAUAAAUUCUGGCUAUAAAUAAAAUUUCAUCUAACAGCAUCUAAUGGUUCUACUAUCAUUAAAGUUAAACAAUUUAUACAUGUCUACUACACGGUUGAACUUGACCCCACUUGUGGGAUUACACAUUUACACUGGGCAUGUUGUUGUUGUACUACACAGUUGAACUUGCAAAAAGCUCAAUAGUUUUUCCCAAGGAGUCCCUGCCAUUGCCAGAUAUUCAAAGUCGGCUUACUCACAAACUGUUCAGAUACCAAGCAAAAAAAUCAUUUGCCGAACAACAACAGCAACAUACUCAGUGAAAUUAAUUCAUAUUCUGUAAUGCGUUGAAAAAGAAACAUUUUUCAUUCUCUCUCAUGCCAAUCUCAACUGACAUUAUCGAAUGCAGCAAAAGAAAGAAUCUUUUUGUUGCAAUGAUGAAGAAAAUCCUUCUUUUGCUCUGAUAAAGAAAAAGUAUUACCAACUGGACAAGGUAAAUUGUUAAAGAUGAAACAAAAUCGGAGUUAACUACUCCAUUGGAAAUGAAAUGGUCAGCAAUAACUUGCUCUUUUUUAUUCUUUCUAUAAAUAUAUAUUACAGCUUAUCCUCAAUAACUCUGUUAUGCGAUAUUAUGACUGAGGCGUGAAUCUUCAAUUAAUAUUAUUCAAAUGGCUGUCACUUUUUUUUUUGGAUCCAACAUUCUGUGACGUACUGUAUUGUUUUUAAAAAUAUUUACUGGGAAAUCAAGUCCCUAUGGCAGCUCACUUUUAGGGCCCGUUUGGCAAUAAAUACCAAAAACUUUUUCACUUUUUUUGGAAUUUUUGAAGUUGGAGUUGGAGUUGGAGUUGUGUUUGGCCAUAGUUUUUGAAAUUGUAAUUUUUGGUGAAAUGUAGUGUAAAAAAGUGAAAAAAAGUUGAAAAUUUUUGAAAAACAAGUUUUUCUUGUUUUUAGUAUUCCGGAGUACAACUCCAGAAAAAAGUGAAUACUUUUUGUGGCCAAAUGCUAAAAGUAAAAAAAGUGAAAAAAAAUUCCGGAAAAAAAGUGAAUAAUUUUUAUGGCCAAACGCCCACUUAAUUUUUAUGGCCUGUAUACUGCUGCACUUAAGGUAGACGUUAGGUUGAAAUGGCUGUCACUUUCUUUUUUCCUUCCAACAUUCUAUGACGUACUGUAUUGUUUGUAAAAAUAUUUACCGGAAAAGCAAGUUUUUUAUGGCUUGUAUACUGCUAUACUUAAGGUAGACAUUUGUUUAUCUGCUUGUGUCUCAUUUCAAUUUUUUAAUGCAUAAUUGCUAUCGUUUCCUUAUGCUGAAGUAACAAAAGAGAAAUUUUGUCAAAUCGGUAGGAUUUUAAGAUUGUAAGAACUGAAGAUGUUAGAAAUAACCACUGCAUAUCGCAUGAAGUUGACACAUUUUGAAUAGAACUUUUAUCAGUAAUGAGCAAAUUUCCAGGUGUGCUCAUUCAGGUGUAUGAAGAGAAAGGAUAAUGACCGAUGACAACAACCUUCUUGGUAAGUUUGACCUUAAAGCACUUUAUAACUAUAUAUAUUCGUGCCAAUCAUUUACUCUAGCAUCAAACUUGACCUGGUUCAGUUCAUGGUGGUCAGACUGACCAAAUUUUGGUCUCAUAUACGUGAUUUUUGCAAUUUUCUAGAACAAAAUUUAUACUUGAACUGCAGAUGUAGCAACACUGCGAAAACAAUUUUUCAGAGAGAUAAUGUCCACUGUUUAUCUGGGAGAACAGUCUUGAAAGAAAAUUUGCCCGAAUUGUCAAGAAGUGUUUUGGUCAAUAUUUUGGCGAUGAGGGUACAUAUCAGUAGAUUCUUUUAGUAGCUCAUAUGUAUCGGAUUUCAUUUACCUGCGGUUGGAAACUAAUGAACGGCUCUAUCUAAGAAGAUUUUAGAUUUCUUUAUAAUGAUCAAAUUAUAUUCGCCCUUAUUUUCCGACAAGCUUCCUUUCCUCAGUGUACUUGACCCUCUAAUCCAUAACCACCUUAUGCAAGAAGAGUCAUUUGAGAAAAGAUGACAAUAGAAUAGAGGGAGAAAACAGAGAACAGUGUAUUAUAGUGAAUUGUUGGCUAGAGUUGAUACACUUGUGGAAAUUAAAGGGAAUACGAGGUAUAUUACACUGCUAAAAGGGAAUCAAUACUACUGCUACCACUUAAGUAUAGGAGUAGAGUUGUUCUUCACUUCCUCUUAUAGGAAAUGUAAUAUGUAAAGUAAAGUAGCAUCAAGAGGACACUUAAGAAAUUACCAGAAUUCGUUUUACGUUAGCGUUUCUAUUUGAGUAGAGCCAUUCUGCGGGUCGCAUUCAGUGGAGCAUUUCCCAUUUUGGACAAGCUAAUGCCAAGGGAUUAAUUAUUUGAGCAGAAGAAGAUGACUUAUAACAUUUGAUGUCAACUUUGAGAAAAGUAGUUCUGUUGCUGUUUAUGAACAUUUCUCUUUUAGGCUUUCAGAGGUUGGAUCCAUAAGGUGCAUUCUAUUGCGUUGUCAUUGGCGAUACUUAUUUUUCGAUAGAUUGCUUUUCAAAGUGACUGAACCCUAAAGUGGUGAUAUAUGUUUUGUUUAAUGCACCGGGCGAUGCUAUCAGCUUGCUAAACUAUAAUUUUCAAGAUCGAGUUGAAAAUGUUCUAAAAUAUAUAGAGGAUGGAGAUAUUCACAAAUGGAGUUUGCUUGAUAUUAGGGAAUUGAAUUGCAUCACUAAUCCUCAUAUGUAAGAACAGGUUCGCAAUUAUUUCCUGACCUUUGCUUUGUUCUGUGUGUGUAUGUGUGGGGAGGGGGGGCUUAGUUUUCCAGGAUGGAAGACCGGAGAUAAUAAAGCAUGCAUUUGACGCUAUGUAGUUUGUCCAUUUAUUUGCAUUCAAAUGGAGUUGAGGAGCUGAUCUAGAUAAGUCAUGUUGCAUUCCCUUUUUACAGAAUAUGUAAUCCCUUCCGAUCUUAGUGAAUUGAUUUGAAGUCGUUUUGCUCGAUUAUUACUAAUUGUCCAGUACUAUGUUAUUAAGUUCGUUCAUGAAUGAUACUUUGUGCUAUAUCAAAACAUAGUUUGGUUACCUCAGUUCCAGUAUAGUACUGUUUGAGUGUAUUGAAGUUUGAAUGCAAUAGUGAUAGAGUGGUUGCUUCAUAAACUACUAUGUUAUUUGAAGAACUUGGAUAUGAAUUGAUUUGAUUCUGGGAAGAAAAUUUUGAAACGCAUAUUCUUAUACGUGCGAAUUUUGUUAAUGAUAAUGGAAUCGACUUUGUCCAAUUACAUAACACACGUGAUAAGCCAAAGGCAAAAUCUUUGGCCAAUUCUCUCAUAUCCCUCCAGAAAGAAACAGAAUAGGACUGGUAACACCAAAUGAUAGGUACAUACCUUUUUUGUUAUUUUUAUUUUAAUUCACGUGUCAAGUUAAUGCUUAUCAGUGAUGUGCCUUAAACAACUCAGAUUUCCUAUUUUGGGAAUUGAAUUCACAUUUUUGUCCCUGUGUAAUACCAUGUGAUGCAUGCCCACUGUCCCUCUCAUAUACAUAGUUAAUGAGAUAAAAACUUUUGGCUUCAUUUCCAUUGAAAGAAUUAGUUGCAAAUUAAUUUUGAUAUAAUAUUUUAUGUAGGAUAGAUAAUAUACACUUUUGAUUUUUAUGUAUUCCUGGUGUGGGUAAAGUUACAUAUGCCAUUAAAGAACCCACAGCACUGAAAUUUGUGCGUAGUAUUUCGUAUUUGUUGCAGAAUAUUUGCCAUUUGUACCACAAUUUUUUAUAUAGAAAACUAUUUAAAUGUGAAAAAAGCAUGCAGUUCUGGAAUGUGUAACAGUAUAACCUGCUUUUGUCUUUUGUUUUCUACUUAGCAAUGUUUUCUGUGAGAGGCUUUUAGUAAGUUCAUUAGAAGUAAAAUGAAAAUGGGAGAGCUUGAGAGAUGCAUAAGAUGUUGCAAGUCUCAAGAGAUUCAUAAGAUGUUGCAAGUUGCAACUGCCAUACAGUUCUAUUUGACGCAAACAAUUGGCGUUAUUUCGUAACUUAUCUUUAUCAGGUUAAGAUUAAGGAAAAAAAAACAUAUUUUACCUGAGGAAUAUAGCUUCAAGGAAUUGUUGAAUAAGAUAUAACGUACGGGGGAAAUUGUAAGGGGAAGAGGGGUUCACUGUACGUACAUCAUAAAUUUAUGAUUAAUUUUUCAAUUUGUUCUUUAUGUUUAGUAUUGUAUGUAUAACUGAUUAUAUAAAUGUAACACAAAUAAUUAAGUUACAUUUGCUUGGGUUAUAUCCUGUAUUUCAAAAAGGAAAUGGCGCACAAAUUAGAUCUUUUCGUUGAAAUGGUAUUACUACUAUAGUCCUUUAGCACCUCACAUCACCUUCACCUUACUGAUGCUUUGCAUAUUAUUUAAUUGGUUUGUGGCUAACUAUUUGUGAUAUUGACAUAGGGCUGGCCUCACUCUGAUUUUUCGGUGAACGUGUGGUAGGGUACUCCUUUCCGUUUGGGUAGCAUGCAUAUUCAAGUACUGUUAUGUGCAUAAGAAAUUGAUUCUGCAUCAUUUAGCUCCAGAACACACAGCUCCUUCAAGGAAGUGGCUAAAUGGAAUAUCUGUGUGUUCACACAACUCUUUUAAUGGCCCGGAGUCUUUUGGAGCAUGCUAAGUCUGAGUCUACCACUUUUUUAAAGCUAUAAUGGAGUACAAAAAUGGAUCUGCCAUGGACAAUGUUUUGAAUACAUAUGUUAGCACAUAAUAGACACCUCCAGAUUGAUUACUCAAGCAAGUAUUUGUUGGACAAAUAGUUUAAUAUUCUAUUCUAGUAUUUUUUAGUUGUUGCACUACUUCAUUUGUAGAUUUCUCAAUCCUGACUUCACUGAUAUUUACAUGUGUUUCUCAGGUUCGUCGACAUGUCCCAAUGCUAUGGUUUUUUGUAAUGCAGAAGAUUGGCUACUGAGAUUGGAACUUCAUCCACCACACUACAACUGUUAAAUUAGGAUUUCCUCAUGAUGUAUCUUAUAGAUACAUUUGGUGUAUUAUGUCUAUAAUAAUAAGUAGUAGUUAUAUUUUUGGUGUAUUACGUCUACAAUAACAAUGCUUGCAAAUGGUUUAACUAAACAGUACUUGUGUUUGUUGUACGUAUUGUGAAUAUAUAUAGUAGUAUUCUAUUAAGCAUGUAUUGCAGUAA